AAAGGCUUGCUCACUUCUUCAUCUGUGAGAUGAUCGUAUUAUAAGUUAGAAUAAUGGGAUUGGACCUUGCUUCGAUCCCCUCUUUAAGAGACUCCAGAAAGUAGUUGACCCAUAGAUGUAAUAGCCGAAAUGAAACUCUUUUACGUCAUAGGAACUAGUAUCGAAUUAGAAGAGAGGUAAUUCCUUUACGUCGUAAAGAGAAGCAUGUGCCUUCCACCUAUCCUUGCAGGUAUAGCAGGGCUUUAAAGAACGCAUCGGGCAGCGAGCGGAAAAAGAAAGUCGAUUGAAUCUUGGUAAUUGAGUGAAGAAGCUCUCAGCGAACCCCUAAAUCUCGGAAGUAUUGAAUCGGGAUGGGAUCCGAUCUCUUUUGGUACACUCGAGUUAUAAGGUGUGUACAGACAGAUAGGCUUCCUUUCGAAAGGCUAGGCACCAAGGAGCGAUAGCCUAUGAAAGCAGAUAAAACUCAAAACUCCUAAACCUAAGGCAGCCUUUCUCCUUAUUAUUUCUCUUAAAUAAGAGAUAGCACCAGCCUAAUCCAAGAAUGUUGAUUCUUCUCUUUCAAAAAAAAGACUUUGGCUAUUCAAAGCAAUCCGCCCAAUGAGCUACGGCUAGAUGAGCUAAGGUCAGUGGAUUCCUCUCUUUAAAUUCCUAAAUAAAAGAAGACAGGAUCUUCUACUUAUUUAUAUAUGCCAACUGCAACUGAUUCCACUUGAGCAAGAGUAGCUUGCCGA
rnacentral:lncRNA from 1 species